rnacentral:rRNA from 1 species
AGUCGAGCGGACAGAUGGGAGCUUGCUCCCUGAUGUUAGCGGCGGACGGGUGAGUAACACGUGGGUAACCUGCCUGUAAGACUGGGAUAACUCCGGGAAACCGGGGCUAAUACCGGGAUGGUUGUUUGAACCGCAUGGUUCAAACAUAAAAGGUGGCUUCGGCUACCACUUACAGAUGGACCCGCGGCGCAUUAGCUAGUUGGUGAGGUAACGGCUCACCAAGGCGACGAUGCGUAGCCGACCUGAGAGGGUGAUCGGCCACACUGGGUACUGAGACACGGCCCAGACUCCUACGGGGAGGCAGCAGUAGGGGAAUCUUCCGCAAUGGACGAAAAGUCUGACGGAGCAACGCCCGCGUGGAGUGAUGAAAGGUUUUCGGRAUCGUAAAGCUCUGUUGUUAGGGGAAAGAACAAGUACCCGUUCGAAAUAAGGGCGGGUACCCUUGACGGGUACCCUAAACCCAGAAAAGCCCACCGGGCUUAAACUUACGUGGCCCAAGCYAGCCCCGCGGGUUAAAUAAC